UCAGUGGGUGUCUGCUGACUUCCCUACCCCCCCCCACCCUCGUGCACACGCUCUCUCUCUCAUUCACUCUCUCAAAUAAAAUCUUAAAGCAUCAUUUCAUAGUUUCAUUUUCUUUAUUCAUUAAAAAGUGGCACAGAAAAUAAUGGAAUCUUCAGAGUUGAGGGAUGAGGGAAUAUGCUGUAUAAUUUAUAGGUAAAUAGUAUGUAUAAAACAUGCGUGGGAAUGAUUUAGGACAGUGUUUAUUCAGAAACAUUGUAAAGUGUGAGAUCUUUAUUUCCAUUCCUCAACCUCCCCUCCCCCCGCCCGCCAAAACAAAUCAGAAUGUUAACAUUGGUUAAAUGUGGGUGGUAGGAAAGGGUAUCUUAUAUUCUCUCCUGUAAUUUUCUGUAUGUUUGAAUUUUUAUAAAGUUUUGAAUUAAAAAAUAAAGUACAGAAACUGAGUGAAUCUAGUGGUCCUGAAUUGCCGUUUGGGAAGAGGGUACCAAUUUAUAAUCCCAACAGUAUACAAAAAUGCCUGUGUCUUUUGCUUUCUCUCAAGUGUUGUGCAUUGCCAAACUGGUAGGUAAAAUAACUGUUAUUUAUGAUAUUUUCUUGACUUAAUUCUCAAUUAUUUGAUUACCAGUGAGAUUGAACAUUUUUUCCUCACAUUUUGGCUAAUUUUACUUCUUUUUAUUAAAGCCUAUUCAGUGUGUUGCUUAUUUUCUGAUCAAAUUAUCACAUUGAUUUGUGAGAGCUCUUUGUAUAUUUAGGUAAUCAACCAUUCUUUCAAAUGUGCCAUGAAUAAUUUAAUUAGUUAUUGUCUUUUUAAAUAAGGUUAUUGAGGGAUGGGACUAAGGACAGAGCACAUCUAACAAUACGGAGAUGACCUAAUUCCUGAAAAACUGCAAACUCAAUAACAUGGGUUUUGGUUUUUUUUUCCCCCCCAAAAUCUUACGCCAUGAUAUUUUAUUUUUGUGCUUUUAUUUACACAGUAACUUUUUUUUUUUCUGUGCCAGUUUUUCCUACAGUCAGAAUUAAGUCUUUCUGCUAUGACUGGAGAGGCACAGGUGAGAGCUAAAAUGCUGUAAUCUGAAGAGUAUUGGAUAGCUCUCUUUGGUCAAAAAUAUUUAAAAAUAGCCCUUUUAUCCUCUGUAUGCCAUUUGAAGUCAAAUAUAGUGAGUUUAUAUUUUGUUUUACUUUUUUGAAAAAUUGAAGUAAAAUUUACAUACUGUAAACUGCAAAGAUCUUGGGUGUUUAAUUUGAUGAGUUUUGAAAAGUGUCCCUUGGUUAUUUAUAUUCAAAAGUUUUAGAAUUUGGGGCACCUGGCUGGCUCAGUCAGAAGAGCAUGUGACUCUUGAUCUCGGGCCCCUGAGUUUGAGCCCCACGUUGGGUGUAGAGAUUACUUAAAUCAGUAAAUAAACUUCAAAAGUUUUAGAAUUUUAUUGUUUUCUUUAACAGUCUGAACCUUCAGUUGUAUACAUAGACAAUCUUUUCACAUUCUGAAUGGCAGUCUCGGGCAUGUCCAUUUGUAAACCUGCCGAGGGCUCUGGUGACGAGAAAGGCAGUGUGGCUGGCAGACCUUCCAAGCCCCUAAAGUACAAGGACAUGAAGGUUUUUGUUUUUUUUUAAACCUGAAAGAAAAAUGAACCCAACAUUAUGUAAUUGUAUUAUUUAUACUGCUAUCAACAGGUAAUCUUAGAGCCCGUUAGUGGAGGCAGAGAAAAACUGCCCCUGCACCUUUAAAAAUCAUAUUUUUCUCUGUCCCUGUGAUAAACACCUGUGGCUUUGGGGGCAGUAUUUUCGUUUUAUUUCAUGGUUAGAGGUAGGCUUUAAUCUAUCAUUAUUGUUUCCUUUCUCCUAAAAGCACCAUUUAAAUGAGAAGUUACUGGGUUUCUAAAUGUUCGUGUAAGAACAUCUUUCUUUGAUUCUGGUAUUUGUACUGUCCAGAUCUCUUCUGAAAUGAGGUUCAGUGUUUAUAGUCAACAGAAAUUUUGGAAGUAAGUUUGUAACCAGUUUGUUCCACAUGAAUAUAAAUCUUUU